UGGCGAAUGAAGAAGGAUAAGCUCCAUUGGUAAUCUGCACUUCAUGUGUAGACUUGUAUUUUUAAAAAGCAAUGCUAUUGGAAGUGUGUAUGUAAGACAUGUGGGAAAAUGUUGCAAAGAAGGUGAAACUCUUGUGUGUCAUGCGCAAGCUUUCAUGCAAAGCAUGCUUUUGAAAAUCGCAUUCUUUGGAAUUGGAAUGCAAAGUAGGUGGUAAAGUUCACUUGAAGCUAAAUAAAUGUUUGAGCUUGAUAGUGUAUAAGUACCAUGAGGGAACUGUGAAAAGAACUUUGGAAAGAAAGUUAAAAGUAUUUGAAAUUGCUGGUGGGAAAGCAAAUGGUAUGAUACUGUGCAGUAAGAUUGCAGCUUGCAAGCAAUAGGCAUUCUGUAUGCAAUGCGUGUAGAAUUGUCUGUUGCAAGCACACUGUGCAUCUUGCUGUGCAUGCCAACAUUGAAAUGCAUGUCAAUGCUAACUGCAUGGGUAACUUGCAUAGUGUGUGCUAGAGCCAUGCCUUGAUAUAGCAUGCAUUUUCUUUUCAGUUGUUACCUGGUCUGGACUUCUUAAGGAUAGACCUGGUUCAAUGCAUGCAUGUGAUUAUUCAUUUGGCCCGUCUUGAAACACGGAUCAAGGAGUCUAACACAUGUGCAAGCCUGUUGGUAAUUCGUUGGGGUGUAAGGAAAGUGACAGCUAGGAUGUGUGCACUGUCAGCCAACUGACCAAUUGUGAGAGGUUUGUGUUUGAGCAUUUGUAUUAGGACCCGAAAGAUGGUGAACUAUGCUUGAAUAAUGCAAAUUCAGGAGAAAUUCUGAAGGAAGCUUGCAGCGGUACUGACGUGCAAAUCGUUCGUCAAAUUUG
rnacentral:rRNA from 1 species